rnacentral:lncRNA from 1 species
UGAUGUGUGGUAAAAUACACAUAUUUCCCUGUGUAAAGUAUCCUGGUGCAAAUGGAGCAAAAACGAGUAAUAUGGAAAUGACCAGCCAGUUGGACAGAGUGAGGUGCCAGUAACAGAAGUAAAAAUUGCCGCUAUUUUUAUCGAUUGGACCGAGCCUACUAUCUCUACAUUAGUAAGGGGACAUGAAGGCACACUAGGGGACUGGCUAAUUAAGUUCGAUCUACAUCAACGUUAGUCAGUGGGCCGCCCAUUUCCAUGCAUACAUGUCCAUGAGAUUUUAGUUGAGGGAAUUGUUAAUUGGGCUUGGAACCGAAGUGUUAAGGGAAUUCUAAAAUAAAAAAAAAAACCCUAAAGCAUAUUAUUAUAUAUAUAGGGGACGUGAGGAGAGUUUGGGGGAGCAUAAAAAAAGUCAACAAGCAAGUGACGGCAACAAGCAAAAGAAGGGAGACGGCUGAACAGUUCGACGAAGAAGAAAGGGCGAUCAAGACAACAGAAAAGAAAAACAUUUGUUCAAGGGUUCAAGCCGCAAGUCCGGGUUUGAUAUUUAUCAGUAUUCAAUUUGUUAAGACUUUGUGUUUUCAGAUUUGAUACUAUGUCUUAUUUAUUAUUUGAGACUUGUUCCUUUUUAGCGACUAUGAUUCUUGGCUAAAUCUUUUCAUGCUACCUAGGUUUAGAUGAACUUGAUGAUUGUAAUGCGAUUUUGACAUGAUUAUGGUUAUUUGAUGUGAUUUACAUAACUUUUCUUUGAUAU